rnacentral:rRNA from 1 species
GACGAACGCUGGCGGCGUGCUUAACACAUGCCAGUCGAACGGAAAGGCCCUGCUUUUGUGGGGUGCUCGAGUGGCGAACGGGUGAGUAACACGUGAGUAACCUGCCCUUGACUUUGGGAUAACUUCAGGAAACUGGGGCUAAUACCGGAUAGGAGCUCCUGCUGCAUGGUGGGGGUUGGAAAGUUUCGGCGGUUGGGGAUGGACUCGCGGCUUAUCAGCUUGUUGGUGGGGUAGUGGCUUACCAAGGCUUUGCCGGGUAGCCGGCCUGAGAGGGUGACCGGCCACAUUGGGACGGGGAUAAGGCCCAGACUCCUACGGGAGGCAGCAGUGGGGAAUAUUGCACAAGGGGCGGAAGCCUGAUGCAGCAACGCCGCGUGCGGGAUGACGGGCUUCGGGUUGUAAACCGCUGUCGCCUGUGACGAAGCGUGAGUGACGGUAAUGGGUAAAGAAGCACCGGCUAACUACGUG